GAAUAACUGGUGUCUUCGGACCCAAACACCUCAUAAUUCCUUCUUAAUACCUGUGAACUGUUUAGAGACCGUGUAAUAUGUGUUUUGGACUUGUCCGGCAUGUAUUUAUCGACUCGAAAUUUUUAUAUUAAAAACAACGUCUUAGUAUGUAUCAAAUUUAAAAUUCAAUCCAAGCAAUUGGGGAGAACUCAUAACAAAAUACAACUUUUAGCAACGGAUCUCUUGGCUCU
rnacentral:misc_RNA from 1 species